rnacentral:rRNA from 1 species
GACGAACCGAGCGAACGUUGUUCGGAAUCACUGGGCUUAAAGGGCGCGUAGGCGGGCCAUCAAGUCAGGGGUGAAAGCCCCCAGCUCAACUGGGGAAGUGCCUCUGAUACUGGUGGUCUCGAGGGAGAUAGGGGCGUGCGGAACUUCCGGUGGAGCGGUGAAAUGCGUAGAUAUCGGAAGGAACACCGGUGGCGAAAGCGGCGCGCUGGAUCUCUUCUGACGCUGAGGCGCGAAAGCCAGGGGAGCGAACGGG